rnacentral:lncRNA from 1 species
AUGUCUUGAGUUCACGCUGGGUAAGUGCAACGUGAUCGCCACUGAUGGUUAAGUCUUGUGGCUCGAGCCGUGUUCAGCGUGUGCGACGAUUUCGCCGCUAGGAGGCUGAGUCAGAGAGAGUGCGGUAGGCUGUUGAGCAGCCAGUGCGCGGACUAUCCGCGGAUGAUUGACUCGAAGCCGAGUCGGGUGGUUAGCUAUGAUAGGGUAGAGGAACCCUUAUGAGCUAGAGAUAGAGGCUUGAGCUAAGGUAAUAGAAACCUUAGAAGCCAGUGAAUAGUGUUGAGUUCCUAAGGUAAUAGAAACCUUAGAGUAAAGUUAUGUGCUGGAGCAGCUAAGUAAAGGUAGAAUUAAAU